AUUGAACGCUGGCGGCGUGCUUAACACAUGCAAGUCGAGCGGUAACAGGUGUAGCAAUACAUGCUGACGAGCGGCGAACGGGUGAGUAAUGCUUCGGAAUCUUCCUAGUAGUGGGGAAUAACCUGGGGAAACUCAGGCUAAUACCGCAUACGAACUACGGUUGAAAGCAGGGGAUCGCAAGACCUUGCGCUAUUAGAUGAGCCGAAGUCGGAUUAGCUAGUUGGUGAGGUAACGGCUCACCAAGGCGACGAUCCGUAGCUGGUCUGAGAGGACAUCCAGCAACACUUAGAUUUGAACACGGCCCAGACGCGUACGGGAAGCAGCAGUGGGGAAUAUUGGACAAUGGGGGCAACCCUGAUUCAGCGACGCCGCGUGUGUGAAGAAGGCCUGCGGGUUGUAAAGCACUUUUAGUGGGGACAAAAAGCCGAGGGCUAAUACUCUUCGGUCUUGAUUUAACCCAAAGAAAAAGCACCGGCUAACUCUGUGCCAGCAGCCGCAGUAAGAC
rnacentral:rRNA from 1 species